UCGAUGUGCUUAACACAUGCAAGUCGAACGAUGAAGCCUUCGGGGUGGAUUAGUGGCGAACGGGUGAGUAACACGUGGGCAAUCUGCCCUUCACUCUGGGACAAGCCCUGGAAACGGGGUCUAAUACCGGAUAACACUCUGUCCCGCAUGGGACGGGGUUGAAAGCUCCGGCGGUGAAGGAUGAGCCCGCGGCCUAUCAGCUUGUUGGUGGGGUAAUGGCCUACCAAGGCGACGACGGGUAGCCGGCCUGAGAGGGCGACCGGCCACACUGGGACUGAGACACGGCCCAGACUCCUACGGGAGGCAGCAGUGGGGAAUAUUGCACAAUGGGCGAAAGCCUGAUGCAGCGACGCCGCGUGAGGGAUGACGGCCUUCGGGUUGUAAACCUCUUUCAGCAGGGAAGAAGCGAAAGUGACGGUACCUGCAGAAGAAGCGCCGGCUAACUACGUGCCAGCAGCCGCGGU
rnacentral:rRNA from 1 species